GACGAACGCUGGCGGCGUGCCUAAUACAUGCAAGUUGAGCGCUGAAGGUUGGUCCUUGUACCAACUGGAUGAGCAGCGAACGGGUGAGUAACGCGUGGGGAAUCUGCCUUUGAGCGGGGGACAACAUUUGGAAACGAAUGCUAAUACCGCAUAAAAACUUUAAACACAAGUUUUAAGUUUGAAAGAUGCAAUUGCAUCACUCAAAGAUGAUCCCGCGUUGUAUUAGCUAGUUGGUGAGGUAAAGGCUCACCAAGGCGAUGAUACAUAGCCGACCUGAGAGGGUGAUCGGCCACAUUGGGACUGAGACCCGGCCCAAACUCCUACGGGAGGCAGCAGUAGGGAAUCUUCGGCAAUGGACGAAAGUCUGACCGAGCAACGCCGCGUGAGUGAAGAAGGUUUUCGGAUCGUAAAACUCUGUUGGUAGAGAAGAACGUUGGUGAGAGCGGAAAGCUCAUCAAGUGACGGUAACUACCCAGAAAGGGACGGCUAACUACGUG
rnacentral:rRNA from 1 species